UGAGCAACCUGCCCUUAGCUCUGGGAUAACCCCGGGAAACCGGGGCUAAUACCGGAUAUGAGUCCGAGCGGCAUCACGCGGACUGGAAAGUUUUUCGGCUAAGGAUGGGCUCGCGGCCUAUCAGCUCGUUGGUGGGGUAAUGGCCUACCAAGGCGACGACGGGUAGCCGGCCUGAGAGGGCGACCGGCCACACUGGGACUGAGACACGGCCCAGACUCCUACGGGAGGCA
rnacentral:rRNA from 1 species